rnacentral:rRNA from 1 species
AACGAACGUUGGCGGCGUGGAUUAGGCAUGCAAGUCGAACGCGAAUCCCUGGGCAACUGGGGAGGAGAGUGGCGAAAGGGGCAGUAAGGCGUGGGUAACCUACCCUCCGGGCCGGGAUAGCUUCGGGAAACUGAAGGUAAUACCGGGCGACGCAGCGAGAUCGCAUGGUCUUGCUGCCAAAGGUCCGCCGCCGGGGGAGGGGCUCACGUGGUAUUAGCUAGACGGCGGGGUAACGGCCCACCGUGGCAAAGAUGCCUAGCAGGUGUGAGAGCACGACCUGCGCCACUGGCACUGAGACACUGGCCAGACACCUACGGGUGGCUGCAGUCGAGGAUCUUCGGCAAUGGGCGCAAGCCUGACCGAGCGGCGCCGCGUGUGCGAUGAAGGCCUUCGGGUUGUAAAGCACUGUCGAGGGGGAGGAAGCCGCAAGGUUGACCUAUCCCUGGAGGAAGCACGGGCUAAGUUCGUG